AUUGAACGCUGGCGGCAGGCCUAACACAUGCAAGUCGAGCGGAUGAAGUGAGCUUGCUCCUGGAUUCAGCGGCGGACGGGUGAGUAAUGCCUAGGAAUCUGCCUGGUAGUGGGGGAUAACGUCCGGAAACGGGCGCUAAUACCGCAUACGUCCUGAGGUAGAAAGUGGGGGAUCUUCGGACCUCACUCUAUCAGAUUAGCCUAGGUCGGAUUAGCUAGUUGGUGGGGUAAAGGCCUACCAAGGCGACGAUCCGUAACUGGUCUGAGAGGAUGAUCAGUCACACUGGAACUGAGACACGGUCCAGACUCCUACGGGAGGCAGCAGUGGGGAAUAUUGGACAAUGGGCGAAAGCCUGAUCCAGCCAUGCCGCGUGUGUGAAGAAGGUCUUCGGAUUGUAAAGCACUUUAAGUUGGGAGGAAGGGCAGUAAGUUAAUACCUUGCUGUUUUGACGUUACCAACAGAAUAAGCACCGGCUAACUUCGUG
rnacentral:rRNA from 1 species